rnacentral:lncRNA from 1 species
GACAAAUCCAUCUUUUCCACGAAUCAACUCCUUCACGACGGCUAACCUCCACAUAAGUCUAUUGGAAUCGUUGUGAACUUGAACGAUGUCUCCUACUUCAAUAGUUUGAACGUUAUUACCAGUUGCACGGUGGAAUUCUCGUAAAGAUGUCAAAUAUUCAUUCCUCCAACGUGUACGGAAAUGUUCAAUUAGUUGAUGUUGUCUCUGAAGUUUUUUGUUACAAGACGAAUGGUUAGAAUUGUGAAAGUUUUCAAUAUCAUCCAUUUGAUGUGGUAGCGAAUCCAAUCUCCUUCCGUUUAGUAAGUGUGAUGGCGUAAGUGGUUGUGGGUCGGUUAUGUCUGUUGAUAUAUACGUAAUCGGACGAUUAUUCAGCAUGCUUUCAAUUUCAGUCACUAUGGUUCGAAGCAUGUCAAUAGUAACAAAUGAUCGACCUAAUACUUUUUUAAUAGCAUUUUUGGUUAGUCCUAUAAGUCUUUCCCACCAUCCACCAAACCAUGGGGCUCUAUUUGGGAUAAAUUUCCAUUCGGUUCCGCGCUCCACCACUUUUUGUUGAAUUGAUUCGGCUGCAGCUUUAAAUGUAUUAGCGUUAUCUGACAUCAUUAUUCUUGGAAGUGAACGACGUGCCACAAAUCUCCUAAAAGCUAACAUGAAUGACUCUUCUUUCAUAUCCGGUACAAUUUCUAGAUGUACUGCUCGUGUUGCUGCACAUGUAAACAGGCAAAUAUAAGUUUUGCAGUCAAUGUUAUUUUGUCCUUUUGUACACAAAGCGCCUGUAAAGUCGACACCUGUAACAAAAAAGGGAAUAUUCAUCGUUAAGUCUAUCUUUCGGAAGCGGCGGUGGCUCAGGUGCGCGGUAAGGUUUUCCUGUUACUUUAUUGCACUGUGAGCAUUUUCUAAGGUGGUAUUUCACACAUUGACGAAUUCUCGGAAUCCAAAACUUCUGCUGAAUAUGCGCAAUGUGUGCUGUUUAGUCCAGAGUGUAGAUUUUUGUGAUGCAUGUCUCUAAUUAUCAACGACGUAAAAUGGUGUUUCGUUGGUAACAAAAUUGGAUACUUCGUAUUAUAAUCUAAUGGUGCGUUGUUUAGUCUUCCUCCGCAGCGCAAUAAUCCGUUGUCGUCCAAAUAAAGUCUAAGUUGUCUAACUAUAGCAACUUUAUGUUUCGAUGAUGGGUUCAAACUAUCAAUCUCGAGUUCAAAUGUCGUCCGCUGAACAUUACGAAUAAGUGUAUUUCGGCUUCUCCGAUUUCUUGAAUGCUGAGUAUUCCAAUCGUUCGCUCGCUUUUACGGGUCUUCAGAUUACGAAUAAAUCUUAACACGUAUGCUGUUAUUCUAACCAAUUUACUAAACGAGCUAUAUUUUUCAAUUUGAAUACAACUUGUCUUUGGUACAUUGUAUCUCAGCGUCCAUAGAUUCCUCUGUAAUUGUUGAAAAUGUGUUACAGUUUUCCACAUUUCUUGUCCAGUUUGGCCAUUCUGUCUUGUUGGCGA